rnacentral:lncRNA from 1 species
AUAACACUUACAUAAAUAAGAGGCUGAAGUUCAUUAAGAAUGCAUCUACAUCCUUAGUUUCUUUUGUUGAGCAAACAAUAUAAUUAAAUUUUGGUACCGAAAACCGAAGUAUUUUCUGAACUUCCAUAUUCUGAACAUGAAAUUGCAUUAUGUUUUCUAUCCUCGUAAUCCUUGCACAAUAAUUGGUAACAGAGACCAUAUUUCAUUUGUAGAGUCUCGAAGCUUGAAGUAUGCACGUUUCAAUAUUGAUAAGCCUUGAUAUUCUUCAUUAUUAAAUCUCAAAUAUACUUGGAAGUUUCUUUGCUGAGAAUUGCUUCUAGGAUAGAUCCAUUAAUGGCCUGGAACAAUACUAACCAGCUACUGGUUCUGCUAUCCUAAUACUAACCACCUGCCAAUAAUUUUUGGACCUCGGGAAGGUCUCCAUCAGCAUGCUCCAAUUUUCAUAGUGACAAUCGAAACGAGGAAUAGCUGGUUGAACAAAAUUAUUGAAUGUGGUCGAAUACAUUAAAAACAAAUGAAAUGGGAGAAAAUAAAUAAAGCUGCUACUUAUGUUUUUACUCUAGGCUCCCAACCAAGCUCUGAUAUCAGUGACACAAAAUAGAGAAGAAUUGAAUAACAGAAUGUAAAAAAGACAAGUGAAACAUAAAGCUCUCUUGGAUUCUUUAAUUGAUAAUAUCAGUGUUCUAAACAGUGAGCAGUGGCCCUACCAGACAAAAACAUCUAAGACCUAUGCGCUAGUUUAAGGGCUUCCAUUGAUCAUUUUCAAGCUCUCACCUUGGCUGCACCUAGCAAAAACGUCACGUCUAGGACCUAUGCGCUAAUUUAAUGGUCCUUGGCCGCGCCUAGCAAAAACGUCGCGACUAGGACCUAUUUGCCAAUUUAAGGGCUUCCAUUGAUCACUUUAAGGUGCGCCAAUGCGAGCCUAAGCUUGCCUUGACACGCA